GACGAACGCUGGCGGCGUGCCUAAUACAUGCAAGUCGAACGCACUCUCGUUUAGAUUGAAGGAGCUUGCUCCUGAUUGAUAAACAUUUGAGUGAGUGGCGGACGGGUGAGUAACACGUGGGUAACCUGCCCUAAAGUGGGGGAUAACAUUUGGAAACAGAUGCUAAUACCGCAUAAAACCCAACACCGCAUGGUGUAGGGUUGAAAGAUGGUUUCGGCUAUCACUUUAGGAUGGACCCGCGGUGCAUUAGUUAGUUGGUGAGGUAAAGGCUCACCAAGACCGUGAUGCAUAGCCGACCUGAGAGGGUAAUCGGCCACACUGGGACUGAGACACGGCCCAGACUCCUACGGGAGGCAGCAGUAGGGAAUCUUCCACAAUGGACGAAAGUCUGAUGGAGCAACGCCGCGUGAGUGAAGAAGGUUUUCGGAUCGUAAAACUCUAGUUGUUGGAGAAGAAUGUAUCUGAUAGUAACUGAUCAGGUAGUGACGGUAU
rnacentral:rRNA from 1 species